rnacentral:rRNA from 1 species
GAUGAACGCUGGCGGCGUGCUUAACACAUGCAAGUCGAACGAAGCACUCUAUUUGAUUUUCUUCGGAAAUGAAGAUUUUGUGACUGAGUGGCGGACGGGGGAGUAACGCGUGGGUAACCUGCCUCAUACAGGGGGAUAACAGUUGGAAACGACUGCUAAUACCGCAUAAGCGCACAGUAUUGCAUGAUACAGUGUGAAAAACUCCGGUGGUAUGAGAUGGACCCGCGUCUGAUUAGCUAGUUGGUGGGGCAACGGCCUACCAAGGCGACGAUCAGUAUCGGACCUGGGAGGGUGUCCGGCCACAUUGGGACUGAGACACGGCCCAAACUCCGACAGGAGGCAGCAGUGGGGAAUAUUGCACAAUGGGGGAAACCCUGAUGCAGCGACGCCGCGUGAACGAAGAAGUAUUUCGGUAUGUAAAGUUCUAUCAGCAGGGAAGAUAAUGACGGUACCUGACUAAGAAGCACCGGCUAAAUACGUGCCAGCCGCCGCGGUAA